GGGAGUUUGGCCGAGUGGUUAAGGCGCUGUGUUUAGGUUAUAGUAACACCAGUCUUGUGCUGGCUUAUACCACAAAUCCCGCAGUGGGAAACCGCGCAGGUUCGAAUCCUGCAGCUCUCA
rnacentral:tRNA from 1 species